UGGAGACAGGUGCUGCAUGGCUGUCGUCAGCUCGUGUCGUGAGAUGUAGGGUUAAGUCCCGCAACGAGCGCAACCCUUAUCCUUUGUUAGCCAGCGGUCCGGCCGGGAACUCAAAGGAGACUGCCAGUGAUAAACUGGAGGAAGGUGGGAUGACGUCAAGUUAUCAUGGCCCCUUUACGACCAGGGCUACACACGUGCUACAAUGGCGCAUACAAAGAGAAGCGACCUCGCGAGAGCAAGCGGAACCUCAAUAAAGUGCGUCGUAGUCCGGAUUGGAGUCUGCAACUCGACUCCAUGAAGUCGGAAUCGCUAGUAAUCGUGGAUCAGAAUGCCACGGUGAAUACGUUCCCGGGCCUU
rnacentral:rRNA from 1 species